AUUGACAGCUGUACAAACAGCAGGAUGUGAUACUGUCCUUGAUGAGGAUUUUUCUUGGCAGCACGGUGUAUGCAUCUUGCAAGACCAUGACAUGCCACACUCCCUCUGAAGACACGGUCAGCUAGGGCUAGCAUGUCAAAUUAGGGAUUUGGUUCCCUCCGCUCCCUCUGCAGUCAAUGAAAAAGGGAGGAGGGGUGGACUGACAGAGGGGAUGGCAGGAGCUGCCUUCAGAGUCCAAGCACUGGCCUUCUUCUGCAUUUUCCAGGAUCUGUGAGUUUUGGGACAAUAAAAACAAGGUCUUUCUUAAGAAAUCACCCCUAUCCAGUCUGCUAGACCUGCAGGUUGGUGUUCCAAGACAUCAGCAGCAUAUCGGUAGGAGCAAAGUUACCCAAAUGGUGAAGUGGUUUUGGAAACCCAGCCAUGUAACUUUGGCAUUUACGCAAUAUUUCCUUCUGCAAAAGGAAGGAGAUGCUGCAGCGAAUCGAUACAUCCUGUGGAUAUCUUGGGCACAUUGACUUAUGGCCCAAUAGUGCCUCCAACAACAGCAGAAGUAAUUGGAAUGCACAGCAAUAAUGCACCUUUCGUUAUAUGUGAGCUAAGAAAGAAAUGGGGUCCAGCCUAGUACAACAGCUUCUCCUGCUUCAUACUUGAACUUUUAUUCUUUAGGCUUUCUUCUUCUCCAUCUCUUGUUCAGUUACUCCCCCACCCCACAGCCCCUGCAAGAGAACUCAUCAGCUGUGAAGGGGGCAAAAUUCAGAAACACCUGAUAAUUCUCAGGUUCUCUGUCACUCUGCAGGCAAAAUACCCUAUGCAACAUCUUACUGCUGGAGGCCUGGAGACAGGGAGAUUAUGGUUGGACUCAGUGGAGCAUCACUGACAUCUUUGGAUGGAUUUUCGUCAAGUCAUGCUGCCACGUGGGCAGCAGGAUUGGGCAGCAACUGUUACCUGCUGUGUUGGGCUGCUGUUGUUCUCCUAGGACUUGGACUUGGCUGGCAUAAGCAAAGACUUUCCACUGCCCUCCUCCCCUGGAAGCUGUCUUGUAGCAGAAACCAAACAUAACUCAUAAAAAACACAGGCAAGAAAAAUAGAGCGCGCCGGCUGCCAGAAAAACAAAUCGGAGCAGAACACGGAGGGGCCUCUCGCAGGGAGGAGGCAGGGAAGAAACACCUGCGAUUUCCAUCGAGGCUCCCCUGACACCCACGUUCCCCCCUCCCUGCUGCAGCCUGCUCUGGCUCCGGCCCCAGUGCUGGGUCUCAGAUCGAGGGGUCCCUCCUCGUCCUCAUGGGCUGCUUGGACACGGCCCCGAGCGCCGGCCCCGUGAAUCACAGCAGCUGAUGAGCACAGAGCGUGCCUGCCAAUUGUCCUCAUGACAUUGCUAUGGUUAUCUUAAAAGUGCUCUGCAGAUGUUUGCCUGCUCGGAGAAAAAA